AACGAACGCUGGCGGCAGGCCUAACACAUGCAAGUCGAGCGCCCCUUUCGGGGGGAGCGGCGGACGGGUGAGUAACGCGUGGGAACGUACCCUUUGCUACGGAAUAGCCUCGGGAAACUGGGAGUAAUACCGUAUGUGCCCUUCGGGGGAAAGAUUUAUCGGCAAAGGAUCGGCCCGCGUUGGAUUAGGUAGUUGGUGGGGUAAUGGCCUACCAAGCCGACGAUCCAUAGCUGGUUUGAGAGGAUGAUCAGCCACACUGGGACUGAGACACGGCCCAGACUCCUACGGGAGGCAGCAGUGGGGAAUCUUAGACAAUGGGCGCAAGCCUGAUCUAGCCAUGCCGCGUGAGCGAUGAAGGCCUUAGGGUUGUAAAGCUCUUUCAGGGGGGAAGAUAAUGACUGUACCCCCAGAAGAAGCCCCGGCUAACUCCGUGCCAGCAGCCGCGGUAAAGUCUGUACU
rnacentral:rRNA from 1 species